CCUACGGGGGGCAGCAGUGAGGAAUAUUGGUCAAUGGGCGAGAGCCUGAACCAGCCAAGCCGCGUGAAGGAUGACGGCCUUAGGGUUUGAAAAUUUCUUUUGUCAGGGAGCAAUUGAGUCCAUGUAUGGGCUUAGCGAGAGUACCUGAAGAAAAAGCAUCGGCAAACUCCGUGCCAGCAGCCGCGGUAAUACGGAGGAUGCGAGCGUUAUCGGGAUUUAUUGGGUUUAAAGGGUGGGUAGGCGGAAUAUAAAGUCAGCGGUAAAAAUUCGGGCUUAAACCCCGACGUGCCGUUGAAACUGAUGUUCUUGAGUAGGCGAGAGGUAGGCGGAAUGCGUGGUGUAGCGGUGAAAUGCGUAGAGAUCACGAAGAACACCGAUUGCGAAGGCAGCAUACCGGCGCCCAACUGACGCUGAUGCGCGAAAGCGUGGGGAGCGAACAGGAUUAGAUACCCCGGUAGUC
rnacentral:rRNA from 1 species